rnacentral:snRNA from 1 species
GGAUGUGAGGGUGAUCUGGCUGUGACAUUAGUCACCCCAUUGAUCACCAGUGUUGAUUAGGCUGAUCUGGCUGGCUAGGCGAGAUAUCCCCUUCCUCCCUCACCGUUCCAUGUGNGUCUCUCCUGAAGCUACUCACUUGAUCAAAGAGGAUGACCUUCCCCAAAUAGAGGAAGACCGAUCUUCANUCAGGGGUAUACAAGCAGCUGUGCUCCCCUGUCAGAGCCUCCAAACAAGCUCUCAAGAUUGACCUUUAGGCAAGUAUGUAGGGAAUUUUCUUAAUUAAUAACAGAUGUGCAAGGACCCACCUCACUGUUGGCAUUUUCACUCNUGGGCUGACAGUCUGUGUUCUGU